rnacentral:rRNA from 1 species
GAUGAACGCUGGCGGCGUGCCUAAUACAUGCAAGUCGAGCGAACAGAUGAGGAGCUUGCUCCUCUGACGUUAGCGGCGGACGGGUGAGUAACACGUGGAUAACCUACCUAUAAGACUGGGAUAACUUCGGGAAACCGGAGCUAAUACCGGAUAAUAUAUUGAACCGCAUGGUUCAAUAGUGAAAGACGGUUUUGCUGUCACUUAUAGAUGGAUCCGCGCCGCAUUAGCUAGUUGGUAAGGUAACGGCUUACCAAGGCAACGAUGCGUAGCCGACCUGAGAGGGUGAUCGGCCACACUGGAACUGAGACACGGACAAGACUCCUACGGGAGGCAGCAGUAGGGAAUCUUCCGCAAUGGGCGAAAGCCUGACGGAGCAACGCCACGUGAGUGAUGAAGGUCUUCGGAUCGUAAAACUCUGUUAUUAGGGAAGAACAAAUGUGUAAGUAACUAUGCACGUCUUGACGGUACCUAAUCAGAAAGCCACGGCUAACUACGUG